rnacentral:rRNA from 1 species
UUAGCGGCGGACGGGUGAGUAACACGUGGGCAACCUGCCCCUUAGACUGGGAUAACUCCGGGAAACCGGAGCUAAUACCGGAUAAUCCCUUUCUCCACCUGGAGAGAGGGUGAAAGAUGGCUUCGGCUAUCACUAGGGGAUGGGCCCGCGGCGCAUUAGCUAGUUGGUAAGGUAACGGCUUACCAAGGCAACGAUGCGUAGCCGACCUGAGAGGGUGAUCGGCCACACUGGGACUGAGACACGGCCCAGACUCCUACGGGAGGCAGCAGUAGGGAAUCUUCCGCAAUGGACGAAAGUCUGACGGAGCAACGCCGCGUGAGUGAGGAAGGCCUUCGGGUCGUAAAGCUCUGUUGUGAGGGAAGAAGCGGUACCGUUCGAAUAGGGCGGUACCUUGACGGUACCUCACCAGAAAGCCACGGCUAACUACGUGCCAGCAGCCGCGGUAAUACGUAGGUGGCAAGCGUUGUCCGGAAUUAUUGGGCGUAAAGCGCGCGCAGGCGGCUUCUUAAGUCUGAUGUGAAAUCUCGGGGCUCAACCCCGAGCGGCCAUUGGAAACUGGGGAGCUUGAGUGCAGAAGAGGAGAGUGGAAUUCCACGUGUAGCGGUGAAAUGCGUAGAGAUGUGGAGGAACACCAGUGGCGAAGGCGACUCUCUGGUCUGUAACUGACGCUGAGGCGCGAAAGCGUGGGGAGCAAACAGGA